CAGAAAACAAAAAUCUGGAUGCAAAUUGAUUCUUCCGAUUAUGCCGCCACAAAGAUCAUUUUUUCUUGUUUUCAUCGACUUUCCUGUCUGUAUAAAAGCUGCUUGUAACGAUAAAAGACGAGACAUAAUAAAUCCAAAAGAUGAAAAAGGUUAUAAAUACACACGAAAGUGGAUUAUGUUCCUAGAAGGCCAAACAUAUAUAAGCAGAAAGUGCUCAAAGGGAAAAUUGGAGAAGGAAACAAGCAAACAGCAUAAAUGGAGCAAUUAAAUAUGGCAUUGACUAUGAUAAAGAGUGAUGAGAACACUAGAAGGCGUAAUGUACGCAUUAUGGACAGUGAUCUAUCACCUUCACCGAGAUGUAUUAAGAGUAGAAGACGUGACACAGCUGCUGUUGCACUUAGAUGUGAAGGUCAACAGAUCAAACAAGAAGUCGGCCCAACUGCUCCAACAACAGUGAAAAGAAGUUCAAGAUUCCGAGGUGUAAGCAGGCAUAAAUUGACGGGUCGAUAUGAAGCACACUUGUGGGAUAAACUCUCAUGGAAUGCAACUCAGAAGAAAAAGGGAAAGCAAGGUAACUUAACUCAUUCGCCACUAUUUUCAGCUAGAUUUCUACCCAAUGGUGGUGCCUGACAUGAAAUCUUCUGUUUUCUUCCACUGAAUGUACUCUGGGCUGCAAAAUUCAAAAUAAACAGUCUAUCUUGGUGAGUAUUAUUUAGCUAACGAAGUUUUUAAUCUUGUAUAUGUAUGCAUGAAGAAUGAAAGUAAGACAAAUUAAGACUCGGACCUUGAUUUAUUAAACUUUCUCAGGGGCAUAUGAUGAUGAGGAAGCUGCAGCUAGAGCAUAUGAUUUGGCUGCACUCAAGUAUUGGGGGACAUCAACUUUU
rnacentral:lncRNA from 1 species